AUCGCUUCUCGGCCUUUUGGCUAAGAUGAAGUGUAGUAUCUGUUCUUAUCAGUUUAAUAUCUGAUACGCCCCCGAUUCGGGGGCAACGUAUUAAACGCAUUUUUAGAACAGGUAGCUGAAUAAGGGGCUCGCUCCGUUCGCUCCACGCAUCGACCCGGUAUUGCAGCGCCUCCGUGAACGGUGCCCCCUUU
rnacentral:snRNA from 1 species